rnacentral:rRNA from 1 species
UUGUUGGUAAGGUAAAAGCUUACCAAGGCUUCGAUCAGUAGCUGGUCUGAGAGGACGACCAGCCACACUGGGACUGAGACACGGCCCAGACUCCUACGGGAGGCAGCAGUGGGGAAUUUUGGACAAUGGGGGCAACCCUGAUCCAGCCAUGCCGCGUGAGUGAAGAAGGCCUUCGGGUUGUAAAGCUCUUUCAGCCGGAACGAAACGGUUACGGUUAAUACCCGUGACUACUGACGGUACCGGAAGAAGAAGCACCGGCUAACUACGUGCCAGCAGCCGCGGUAAUACGUAGGGUGCGAGCGUUAAUCGGAAUUACUGGGCGUAAAGCGUGCGCAGGUGGUUUUGUAAGUCAGAUGUGAAAGCCCCGGGCUCAACCUGGGAACUGCGUUUGAAACUACAAGACUAGAGUGUGGCAGAGGGGGGUGGAAUUCCGCGUGUAGCAGUGAAAUGCGUAGAGAUGUGGAGGAACACCGAUGGCGAAGGCAGCCCCCUGGGUCAACACCGACGCUCAGGCACGAAAGCAUGGGGAGCAAACAGGAUUAGAUACCCUGGUAGUCCAUGCCCUAAACGAUGUCAACUAGUUGUCGGGCCUUUACGGGCUUGGUAACGUAGCUAACGCGUGAAGUUGACCGCCUGGGGAGUACGAUCGCAAGAUUAAAACUCAAAUGAAUUGACGGGGACCCGCACAAGCGGUGGAUUAUGUGGAUUAAUUCGAUGCAACGCGAAAAACCUUACCUACCCUUGACAUGUAUCGAAGCCCGCAGAAAAGCGGGGGUGCCCGAAAGGGAACGAUAACACAGGUGCUGCAUGGCUGUCGUCAGCUCGUGUCGUGAGAUGUUGGGUUAAGUCCCGCAACGAGCGCAACCCUUGUCAUUAAUUGCCAUCAUUUAGUUGGGCACUUUAAUGAGACUGCCGG